AGGCCCGAAGAGAGAGGUAAGGUGUGAUCCGCAGCCUCCGUGGCAGCUGUUGAUCAGCUGUUGCCUCUCUCUUUGUCUCCG
rfam:Myotis lucifugus cont2.28009, whole genome shotgun sequence.